AGGUCUUGACAUCCCUCUGACCGCUCUAGAGAUAGAGUUUUCCUUCGGGACAGAGGUGACAGGUGGUGCAUGGUU
rnacentral:rRNA from 1 species